rnacentral:rRNA from 1 species
ACGAAGGGGGCUAGCGUUGUUCGGAAUUACUGGGCGUAAAGCGUGCGCAGGCGGUUUUUCAAGUCAGAGGUGAAAGCCCCGGGCUCAACCCGGGAAUGGCCUUUGAGACUGGAUGGCUAGAGUGUGAGAGAGGUGAGUGGAAUUCCCAGUGUAGAGGUGAAAUUCGUAGAUAUUGGGAAGAACACCCGUGGCGAAGGCGGCUCACUGGCU